UAGAGGAAGUAAAAGUCGUAACAAGGUUUCCGUAGGUGAACCUGCGGAAGGAUCAUUACUGAAUUUAAUUCCGGGGUUGUAGCUGGCCAUUGUUUUGGCAUGUGCACACCUUGGUAUAAUCCAAAUUCAUUCACACCUCUGUGCACCAUUUCGUGGGAUUGAAGGACAAUGAAUGAAUUGCGCUUAGCUCUUCUUUUCUUUGCCCAAAUUUCCCAUGUCUUCUUAUAUACUCUACAGUUUUAGAAUGUUAAUUGCGUUGAACGCAUUUAUAUACAACUUUCAGCAACGGAUCUCUUGGCUCUCGCAUCGAUGAAGAACGCAGCGAAAUGCGAUAAGUAAUGUGAAUUGCAGAAUUCAGUGAAUCAUCGAAUCUUUGAACGCACCUUGCGCUCCUUGGUAUUCCGAGGAGCAUGCCUGUUUGAGUGUCAUGGUAUUCUCAAUCCAUUCUGGGUUUUUGAAAAGAAACUUGUUUGGAAUUGGACUUGGAGGCUUUUUGUUGGUUACACUUUGUUAAUCGACUCCUCUAAAAUGCAUUAGCAGGAACGAAGUGCCAUCUUCAGUGUGAUAAUUAUCUGCAUUGUGGAAUGGUGCUUGGAAGUUCUGGCUUCUAAUUGUCUAUUCUCUUAGACAUUAUUUAUGACAUCUGACCUCAAAUCAGGUAGGAUUACCCGCUGAACUUAAGCAUAUCAAUA
rnacentral:rRNA from 1 species